rnacentral:rRNA from 1 species
GAUGAACGCUGGCGGCGUGCCUAAUACAUGCAAGUCGAGCGAACAGACGAGGAGCUUGCUCCUCUGACGUUAGCGGCGGACGGGUGAGUAACACGUGGAUAACCUACCUAUAAGACUGGGAUAACUUCGGGAAACCGGAGCUAAUACCGGAUAAUAUAUUGAACCGCAUGGUUCAAUAGUGAAAGACGGUUUUGCUGUCACUUAUAGAUGGAUCCGCGCCGCAUUAGCUAGUUGGUAAGGUAACGGUUUACCAAGACGACGAUGAGUAGCCGACCUGGGAGGGUGAUCGGCCACACUGGAACUGAGACACGGUCCAGACUCCUACGGGAGGCAGCAGUAGGGAAUCUUCCGCAAUGGGCGAAAGCCUGACGGAGCAACGCCGCGUGAGUGAUGAAGGUCUUCGGAUCGUAAAACUCUGUUAUUAGGGAAGAACAAAUGUGUAAGUAACUAUGCACGUCUUGACGGUACCUAAUCAGAAAGCCACGGCUAACUACGUG